UUACGACCAGAACACGUUGAAAACACCGAUUCCCGUAUAAUGGCCAAAGUUAAGCAACGUCGGGCCUGGUUAGUACCUAGAUAGCUGACCGUUUGUGAGUAUUAGGUGCUGUAUG